rnacentral:miRNA from 1 species
GAUGAAUGUUUUUAUUCGUGUAAUGGUAAGAAUAUUUUCAUGAGGUGAAAAUAUUCUUACCAUUGAAAAUAUUCUUACCAGUGAAAAUAUUCUUACCAUUGCACGAAUAAAAACAUUCAUU